CGUCGCUGCCGACUCCCAGGGGGAGCGGCAGACUGGGGCCCCACAACCCCGGACCGAAGAACAGAUAAGCGCUGGCCCACCACUACGGGCGCCAGCCCAACAAGAAAUUUCGGAUGUACGCAUGCUCCAGGAAGGAGCAUGAACCCCC
rnacentral:sRNA from 17 species